rnacentral:rRNA from 1 species
AACGAACGCUGGCGGCAUGCCUAACACAUGCAAGUCGAACGAGACCUUCGGGUCUAGUGGCGCACGGGUGCGUAACGCGUGGGAAUCUGCCCUUGGGUUCGGGAAUAACUUCGGGAAACUGAAGCUAAUACCGGAUGAUGACGUAAGUCCAAAGAUUUAUCGCCCAAGGAUGAGCCCGCGUAGGAUUAGCUAGUUGGUGAGGUAAAGGCUCACCAAGGCGACGAUCCUUAGCUGGUCUGAGAGGAUGAUCAGCCACACUGGGACUGAGACACGGCCCAGACUCCUACGGGAGGCAGCAGUGGGGAAUAUUGGACAAUGGGCGAAAGCCUGAUCCAGCAAUGCCGCGUGAGUGAUGAAGGCCUUAGGGUUGUAAAGCUCUUUUACCCGGGAUGAUAAUGACAGUACCGGGAGAAUAAGCUCCGGCGUAACUCCGUGCCAGCAGCCGCGGUAAAGUGACUACUG